rnacentral:rRNA from 1 species
UACAGAGGGUGCGAGCGUUAAUCGGAAUUACUGGGCGUAAAGCGCGCGUAGGCGGCUUUGCAGGUCGGGUGUGAAAUCCCCAGGCUUAACCUGGGAACUGCGCUUGUUACUGGCAGGCUGGAGUGUGGCAGAGGGGGGUGGAAUUCCACGUGUAGCAGUGAAAUGCGUAGAGAUGUGGAGGAACACCGAUGGCGAAGGCAGCCCCCUGGGCUAACACUGACGCUCAUGCACGAAAGCGUGGGGAGCAAACAGG